rnacentral:rRNA from 1 species
AUUGAACGCUGGCGGCAGGCCUAACACAUGCAAGUCGAGCGAGCGGCGGACGGGUGAGUAAUGUCUGGGAAACUGCCUGAUGGAGGGGGAUAACUACUGGAAACGGUAGCUAAUACCGCAUACCAUCAGAUGGGCCCAGAUGGGAUUAGCUAGUAGGGGGGGUAACGGCUCACCAAGGCGACGAUCCGUAGCUGGUUUGAGAGGAGUACCAGCCACACUGGAACUGAGACACGGUCCCGACUCCUACGGGAGGCAGCAGUGGGGAAUAUUGCACAAUGGGCGCAAGCCUGAUGCAGCCAUGCCGCGUGUAUGAAGAAGGCCUUCGGGUUGUAAAGUACUUUCAGCGGGGAGGCGUUACCCGCAGAAGAAGCACCGGCUAACUCCGUGCCAGCAGCCGCGGUAAUAC